UACGUAGGCAGCGAGCGUUGUUCGGAAUUACUGGGCGUAAAGAGUGUGUAGGCGGCGCUCUAAGUUCGGUGUGAAAUCUCUCGGCUUAACUGGGAGGGUGCGCCGGAAACUGGAGUGCUCGAACUUGGGAGAGGAAAGCGGAAUUCCUGGUGUAGCGGUGAAAUGCGUAGAUAUCAGGAGGAACACCUGCGGUGUAGACGGCUUUCUGGACCAUUGUUGACGCUGAGACACGAAAGCGUGGGUAGCAAACAGG
rnacentral:rRNA from 1 species